rnacentral:rRNA from 1 species
AGCCUGAUGCAGCCAUGCCGCGUGUGUGAAGAAGGCCUUCGGGUUGUAAAGCACUUUCAGUCAGGAGGAAAGGUUAGUAGUUAAUACCUGCUAGCUGUGACGUUACUGACAGAAGAAGCACCGGCUAACUCCGUGCCAGCAGCCGCGGUAAUACGGAGGGUGCGUAGCGUUAAUCGGAAUUACUGGGCGUAAAGCGUACGCAGGCGGUUUGUUAAGCGAGAUGUGAAAGCCCCGGGCUUAACCUGGGAACUGCAUUUCGAACUGGCAAACUAGAGUGUGAUAGAGGGUGGUAGAAUUUCAGGUGUAGCGGUGAAAUGCGUAGAGAUCUGAAGGAAUACCGAUGGCGAAGGCAGCCACCUGGGUCAACACUGACGCUCAUGUACGAAAGCGUGGGGAGCAAACAGGAUUAGAUACCCUGGUAGUCCCCGCUGUAAACGAUGCCUACUAGGAACUGGUUUCUUCCGACAACUUUUCCAAAGCUAACGCAUUAAGUAGACCGCCUGGG